UACGUAGGUGGCGAGCGUUGUCCGGAUUUACUGGGCGUAAAGGGCGCGCAGGCGGUCUGUUAAGUCUAGGGUGAAAGCUCCCGGCUCAACUGGGAGAGGUCCUUGGAUACUGGCGGACUUGAGGGAGGCAGAGGAGAAUGGAAUUCCCGGUGUAGUGGUGAUAUGCGUAGAUAUCGGGAGGAACACCAGUGGCGAAGGCGGUUCUCUGGGCCUUACCUGACGCUGAGACGCGAAAGCGUGGGGAGCGAACCGG
rnacentral:rRNA from 1 species